rnacentral:rRNA from 1 species
UACGUAGGGGGCAAGCGUUGUCCGGAAUCAUUGGGCGUAAAGCGCGUGUAGGCGGUCCGGUAAGUCCGCUGUGAAAGUCGGGGGCUCAACCCUCGGAUGCCGGUGGAUACUGUCGGGCUUGAGUACGGAAGAGGCGAGUGGAAUUCCUGGUGUAGCGGUGAAAUGCGCAGAUAUCAGGAGGAACACCAGCGGCGAAGGCGGCGCCUCUGGGCCGGUACUGACACUGAGGGAGCGAAAGCGUGGGUAGCAAACAGG